rnacentral:rRNA from 1 species
ACGGGGAGCAGCAGGCGCGAAAACUUUACAAUGCGGGCAACCGUGAUAAGGAAACCCCGAGUGCCAGCACAGGCUGGCUGUCCGCCAGUGUAAAAAACUGGUGAAGAAAGGGCCGGGCAAGACCGGUGCCAGCCGCCGCGGUAAUACCGGCGGCUCGAGUGGUGGCCGCUUUUACUGGGCUUAAAGGGUCCGUAGCUGGAUUCACAAGUCCCUUGAGAAAUCUAUCGGCUUAACUGAUAGGCGUUCAGGGGAUACUGUGGUUCUAGGGACCGGGAGAGGUAAGAGGUACUGCCGGGGUAGGAGUGAAAUCCUGUAAUCCCGGUGGGACGACCUGUGGCGAAGGCGUCUCACCAGAACGGACCUGACGGCAAGGGACGUAAGCUAGGGGCACGAACCGGAUUAGAUACCCGGGUAGUCCUAGCCGUAAACGAUACUCGCUAGGUGUCGGCCACGGUGCGACCGUGGUCGGUGCCGUAGGGAAGCCGUGGAGCGAGCCACCUGGGAAGUACGGCCGCAAGGCUGAAACUUAAAGGAAUUGGCGGGGGAGCAC